rnacentral:rRNA from 1 species
UGGCGGCGAGAGCGCGGUGGUCCCACCUGACCCCAUGCCGAACUCAGAAGUGAAACGCCGUAGCGCCGAUGGUAGUGUGGGGCUUCCCCAUGCGAGAGUAGGGAACUGCCA